GGGGAUAGCUCAGUGAUAGAGCACAUGCUUAGCAUGCAGGAGGUCCUGGGUUCAAUCCCCAGUAUUUCCA
rnacentral:tRNA from 1 species